UACGUAGGGGGCAAGCGUUGUCCGGAAUUAUUGGGCGUAAAGAGCGUGUAGGCGGUCCGGUAAGUCAGCUGUGAAAGUCAAGGGCUCAACCCUUGAAUGCCGGUUGAUACUGUCGGGCUAGAGUCCGGAAGAGGCGAGUGGAAUUCCCGGUGUAGUGGUGAAAUGCGUAGAUAUCGGGAGGAACACCCGUGGCGAAGGCGGCCUGCUGGGCUGACCCUGACACUGAGGCGCGAAGGCGUGGGGAGCGAACGGG
rnacentral:rRNA from 1 species